AUUGAACGCUGGCGGCAGGCCUAACACAUGCAAGUCGAGCGGAUGACGGGAGCUUGCUCCUUGAUUCAGCGGCGGACGGGUGAGUAAUGCCUAGGAAUCUGCCUGGUAGUGGGGGACAACGUUUCGAAAGGAACGCUAAUACCGCAUACGUCCUACGGGAGAAAGCAGGGGACCUUCGGGCCUUGCGCUAUCAGAUGAGCCUAGGUCGGAUUAGCUAGUUGGUGAGGUAAUGGCUCACCAAGGCGACGAUCCGUAACUGGUCUGAGAGGAUGAUCAGUCACACUGGAACUGAGACACGGUCCAGACUCCUACGGGAGGCAGCAGUGGGGAAUAUUGGACAAUGGGCGAAAGCCUGAUCCAGCCAUGCCGCGUGUGUGAAGAAGGUCUUCGGAUUGUAAAGCACUUUAAGUUGGGAGGAAGGGCAGUAAGYUAAUACCUUGCUGUUUUGACGUUACCGACAGAAUAAGCACCGGCUAACUCUGUGC
rnacentral:rRNA from 1 species